rnacentral:rRNA from 1 species
UGGGGAAUAUUGGGGCAAUGGGGGGAAACCCUGACCCAGCAACGCCGCGUGAAGGAAGAAGGCUUUCGGGUUGUAAACUUCUUUUACCAGGGACGAAGAAAGUGACGGUACCUGGAGAAAAAGCCACGGCUAACUACGUGCCAGCAGCCGCGGUAAUACGUAGGUGGCAAGCGUUGUCCGGAUUUACUGGGUGUAAAGGGCGUGUAGGCGGAGGUGCAAGUCAGAAGUGAAAUCCACGGGCUUAACUCGUGAACUGCUUUUGAAACUGUACCCCUUGAGUACGU